UUUGGGUCGACUCAAGCUUGGGUCGACUCAACUUCCUCUUGGGUCGACCCUCUCAGUGUUUCCAGAGAACUAUUUUCUUGAGACUUGAGAGGCUUGAGGUUUGGGUCGACUCAUGCUUUCCUCGGGUCGACCCAACUACUGUUCAUCCGUGCCAUUUUUGCAGAAGUGUGCCAGAUGCUUUCUUGAUGUGCUGGGGUCGACCCAAUCAACCUUGGGGUCGACUCAAACCACACUUUGCUGCAACUCAAGGUUAGAUUCAUCCAUAUAAACAAUGAAAA
rnacentral:lncRNA from 1 species